AAGUACGUUGCCGAGUUGGACACGAUUACACCUGAGCAGGUGGAAUGGCAGCCAUAUGGCGCCGAUGACAGACUUGGGUACACCCCGGAGUUUACCAUCAACCCAAUGUGCUUGCGGUAUAGGGAUCUCUGGCGUAUGCGGUGCCCACUGAUAUGCAACUGGGCUGUUGAGUUUCAUUUGCCACAUCGCGUGUGUCGUCAGUUUGGUCUGUUCCAGCCUCACCCGCCGGAAUGGGUGGAUACGGACAAAGCACUUUAUAGGUUGGACAGGAGAAGGCAACGAAAGAUAAAGGACUGGGAAAAGCAUCAUGCUUCGUAUGUUACCCGCUUCCAGCUUUGUGUGGAGGAAGCUCAUAGCAGUGCACGCGCCAAGCUUCGUGAGCAUAGUCCACUUGCUUUGAUAAAUACAUAUGAUGGCUUCUUGAAAAUACUCGAUUUGAGAUAUGCUCGUCGGCAUAUAAUG
rnacentral:rRNA from 1 species